GACGAACUGUCCUAACGUUGUUCGGAAUCACUGGGCUUAAAGGGCGCGUAGGCGGUCCAACAAGUCAGGGGUGAAAUCCUGCAGCUCAACUGCAGAAGUGCCUCUGGUACUGUUGGUCUUGAGGGAGAUAGGGGUGUGCGGAACUUCCAGUGGAGCGGUGAAAUGCGUUGAUAUUGGAAGGAACGCCGGAGGCGAAAGCGGCGCACUGGAUCUCUUCUGACGCUCAGACACGACAGCAUGGGGAGCGAACGGG
rnacentral:rRNA from 1 species